CCUACGGGUGGCAGCAGUGGGGAAUAUUGCACAAUGGGCGCAAGCCUGAUCCAGCAACGCCGCGUGAAGGAAGAAGUAUUUCGGGAUGUAAAGCCCUAUCCGCAGGGAAGAAGAAAUGACGGUACCUGAGUAAGAAGCACCGGCUAAAUACGUGCCAGCAGCCGCGGUAAUACGUAUGGUGCAAGCGUUAUCCGGAUUUACUGGGUUUAAAGGGAGCGUAGGCGGAACGGCAAGCCUGGUGUGAAAGCCCGGGGCCCAACCGCGGCAGGGCGUUGGAAACUGCCUGGCUGGAGUGCCGGAGAGGUAUGCGGAAUGCGUAGUGUAGCGGUGAAAUGCGUAGAUAUUAGGAGGAACUCCGGUGGCGAAGGCGGCCUACUGGCGGGGGACUGACGCUGAGGCACGAAAGCGUGGGGAUCGAACAGGAUUAGAUACCCGGGUAGUC
rnacentral:rRNA from 1 species